UACAGAGGUCUCAAGCGUUGUUCGGAUUCAUUGGGCGUAAAGGGUGUGUAGGUGGCGCCGUAAGUCGGGUGUGAAAUUUCGGAGCUUAACUCCGAAACUGCAUUCGAUACUGCGUGCUUGAGGACUGGAGAGGAGACUGGAAUUCAUGGUGUAGCAGUGAAAUGUGUAGAGAUCAUGAGGAAGACCAGUGGCGAAGGCGGGUCACUGGCC
rnacentral:rRNA from 1 species